rnacentral:rRNA from 1 species
UACGUAGGGACCGAGCGUUGUCCGGAAUCAUUGGGCGUAACGAGCGUGUAGGCGGCUAUUUAAGUCCUGCGUGAAAUCCUGCGGCUCAACCGCAGACGGUCGUGGGAAACUGGAUGGCUAGAGUGCGGCAGAGGAGACUGGAAUUCCUGGUGUAGCAGUGAAAUGCGUAGAUAUCAGGAGGAACACCGAUGGCGAAGGCAGGUCUCUGGGCUGACACUGACGCUCAUGCACGAAAGCGUGGGGAGCAAACAGG